UACCUGGUUGAUCCUGCCAGUAGUCAUAUGCUUGUCUCAAAGAUUAAGCCAUGCAAGUCUAAGUACGAGCUCUCGUACAGUGAAACUGCGAAUGGCUCAUUAAAUCAGUUAUGGUUCAUUUGAUCGUACAGUUUACUUGGAUAACUGUGGUAAUUCUAGAGCUAAUACAUGCGAGAAGCGCCGACCUCGCGGGAGGCGUGCAUUUAUCAGACCAAAAACCGGCCGCGUCUUCGGGCGCGUUCGCCUUGGUGACUCUGGAUAACUUGCGGAUCGCACGGUCUAGCACCGGCGACGGAUCAUUCAAGUGUCUGCCCUAUCAACUUUCGUC
rfam:Ciona savignyi cont_42633, whole genome shotgun sequence.